UAAAAGUGUGAUUCGUUC
rnacentral:tRNA from 10 species